rnacentral:rRNA from 1 species
UACAGAGGGUGCAAGCGUUGUUCGGAAUUAUUGGGCGUAAAGGGCGCGUAGGCGGUGCUGUAAGUCUGUAGUGAAAUCUCUGGGCUCAACUCAGAGUCUGCUAUAGAAACUGCAGUGCUGGAGUGUGGGAGAGGUGAGUGGAAUUCCCGGUAUAGCGGUGAAAUGCGUAGAUAUCGGGAGGAACACCUGUGGCGAAAGCGGCUCACUGGACCACAACUGACGCUGAGGCGCGAAAGCUAGGGGAGCAAACAGG